CAUGAACUGUUCAUGUUUCAGCUCUGCUUUGUUUAUCAUUUGGGUUCUUUCUUUCUUUAUCAGCUUGUCUGGUAAAUAUUUAAAUAUUCAGCAGAUUUAUUUUUCGAACCCGUGAAUGUGCCCUUUCAUGACCGCGAUACUUGUGGGGUUAGGAGUUUUGGCCUGUUACCUGCUCUACAAACUCAUCAUGGAUCGUGCUGCUCAACGAAAAUUGAAUCGACGGGGCUCUGAUUCUCAUCCGAAAAAAUACUGUCGAACCCGUCCUCAUUCGUCUCAAGCUCCGAAUCCAUCUCUAAAUAAUGUUUCAGAUGGGUAAUACAUACCACAGACCUAAAGCCUUGAUGAGAAAUGUUGAAAUCAAAUACCUGGACAAGGUCAAUCUCAAAACUCGUGCAUGGUACGAAAGUAUUGACUAUGUGUAUGUAAUGUAUAUUUAAUUGCUACAGAAAAAAUUUUAUAAAAUUUAAUGGUAAACGCACAUGGUUGUAAAUAUGGUUGUAUUUAUUUAUAAGACUGCUUUCGAGUCAAGGUGAGAUUUAGGUCACAUUAAGAUUAACACAUUUAAAUAACUUUUGACAGGAAAUAAAAUGUUUAGCCACAAUACCCAUGAAA